rnacentral:rRNA from 1 species
AUUGAACGCUGGCGGCAGGCCUAACACAUGCAAGUCGAACGAGUGGCGGACGGGUGAGUAAUGUCUGGGACACUGCCUGCUGGAGGGGGAUAACUACUGGAAACGGUAGCUAAUACCGCAUACCAUCGGAUGUGCCCAGAUGGGAUUAGCUAGGAGGUGGGGUAAAGGCUCACCUAGGCGACGAUCCCUAGCUGGUCUGAGAGGAUGACCAGCCACACUGGAACUGAGACACGGCACGGACUCCUACGGGAGGCAGCAGUGGGGAAUAUUGCACAAUGGGCGCAAGCCUGAUGCAGCCAUGCCGCGUGUAUGAAGGAGGCCUUCGGGUUGUAAAGUACUUUCAGCGGGGAGGCGUUACCCGCAGAAGAAGCACCGGCUAACUCCGUGCCAGCCGCCGCGGUAAUUC